CUACGGGGAUGAUACUUAACUUGAACUCUCUCUUUCUGAUGGCUCAGUGGAGAAAACCUAAAAACUGAGUAGC
ensembl:snoRNA SNORD26 Small nucleolar RNA SNORD26